GAAUGGCACACUGCACUUUUCUUAUUCAUGCACUUAUGCAUAUGCAUUUAUGGGAAGGUCGAGGUGGAAAUGGGAGUACCACGCAAAAACUGCCUCAGUCAUUGCAAGCGCCUCAAGCUUUAUCACCCCUAAGCACACUAUGUUGAUACUGUUUUAGACUUGAUUUAGAUUUAGUGUUAUUUAGUAUAAUUUGUAUUUAAUUUGUAUGUUAGCA